GGUUCCCAUGUCUCUCGUCUUGAUUACAAUAUCGGCUUUGGUCAUUUCCUUUGCCGAAGCUUCUGAUCCAAGUCCACUUCAAGACUUCUGCGUGGCCAUUGGUGACCUCAAAAAUGGUGGUAAGUAUAAAACUCGAAUUCUUGAACUCUCAACUAAUUAUUAUUCUCCUUUAUUAUUUUGUAAGUUCGAUUCUCCUCAACUAAAUUAUUACUCUCAAUAUUUGUACUUGCAGUUUUUGUGAAUGGUAAGUUCUGCAAGGAUCCGAAGCAAGCGAAGGCAGAAGAUUUCUUCUACUCAGGCCUCAACCAGGCAGGGACCACUAAUAAUAGAGUCAAAUCCAACGUGACAACGGUCAAUGUCGACCAGAUUCCAGGGUUAAACACUUUGGGAAUAUCCUUGGUCCGCAUAGACUAUGCACCUUAUGGACAAAACCCACCUCACACGCACCCUCGUGCCACUGAGAUCCUUGUUCUUGUCGAGGGAACAUUAUAUGUUGGUUUUGUUUCUUCCAAUCAAGACAAUAACCGUUUAUUCGCCAAAGUGCUGAACCCCGGCGACGUGUUCGUGUUCCCCAUAGGAAUGAUCCAUUUUCAAGUGAAUAUCGGGAAGACCCCAGCAGUGGCUUUUGCUGGACUAAGUAGUCAGAACGCUGGUGUUAUCACGAUCGCAGACACUGUGUUCGGGUCAACGCCCCCGAUUAAUCCAGAUAUUCUCGCUCAGGCGUUUCAGUUAGAUGUCAAUGUUGUCAAGGAUCUUGAAGCGAAGUUUAAAAACUAAAUCUAGUCACCAACAAUACGAGUGUUUAUUGUUUUAACACUUAAGUAAUGAUGUAUCACGAAUUAAAGAUUUAUGCUUAAUAAAAUAAAAAGGUGUUUAUCACCUGAUUUGAUAUUUAAUAUUAAAUUUCCUUUUCCUAUAUAUGAUUCUGUCUUACAACUUUUUAAAUGUCGGGGUAUUAAAAUUUUCUUGGAUAUUCAAUAAGUCUUUAAGAGUUGUUAGAAUAAUUAAAAAUAAAAAAAAUGUACAAGCCAUCAGAUUAUCUAUAUUUCUUAUAUAAUAAAGUAAAGUUUCUUGAAAAUGAGUUUUAAGAAGCUCACAUUUGGCGCUUGUUUCAUAUUCACUAUAUAUAUUUCUAGACAGUCGCCUAAAUAUUUAUCAUUAUUUGCAAAAUUUUAAUAAAAAACAAAUUGAAAAAAUAUUAUUUGACAUUAUCUAUAUGCAAUCAAAAUCACAAUAAAGUAAAAAGCCUCCAUGAAUUAUUUAACAUUAUAAAUUAAUCAUAAAUUAUUUUGAUUUUGGAUUCCUCCUUUCUUAUAUAAUAAAGUAAGGUUUCUUGAACUGAGCUUUAAAAAGCUGACAUUUGGUACUCUAUUCUUUUGACACGUGUCUUUUUAAUAAUUUUAGUGUAAGAGAUCUAUUCAAUAAAUUAUUUUACAAAACUUUAUUGUUUCAUAUUCACUAUAUAUACUUCUACACAGUCACCUAAAUAAUUAUCAUUAUUUGCAAAAUAUUAGUAGAAAAACAAAUCGAAAAAAUAUUAUUUGACAUUAACUAUAUGCAAUUAAAAUCACAAUAAAGUAAAAAGCCUCCAUGAAUUAUUUAACAUUAUAAAUUAACCAUAAAUAAUUUUGAUUUUGGAUUCCGCCUUUAUAAAAGUUAAGAUAACUCGAUACAAUAGUAAAAAGUUAUAUAAAAAAUAUAUGGUUCUACUGAUAGCAUAAAUAAACAAUUAUUAAAUUUAUACAAAUAGUUAACAUAAUUUAUUGAUAUAUAUAUAUAUAUAUAUAUAUAUAUAUAUAUAUAUAUAUAUAUAUAUAUAUAGAUUGAUAUAUGCUUCUAAUGUUGUUUGCCUUUUCUUAUAUAUUAUUUUCUUAAUUUUGUUUUACUGUAUUACACAUUUUGUAGUGUUUUUUUUUUUUUUUUUUUUUUUGCUCAAAACAUUUUGUAGUGUUAUGUUUUCAAAUUGUCCAAACAAUAGUAAAUAGUUUUAGGCACUCUAAUUAUUUUUCACUCAUAUAAUAUAAGAAACUAUUAAUAUAUUGUUUAUGAUAAUUGAGAUUACUAAUCAUAUUCAUCACCGUAAAUUUGUGAAUGUCAGUUUAAGAAUUUAACUCAUCUAAAAGUAACAUUGCAUUAACAAAACAAAUUUUGUACUAACGAGUUUUUUUGUUAUUGUCUUUUCCUGUACAUGUCUAGGGUUAGGAUCCGAAUACAACACAAGUAAUUGUCUUUUGUCUUCUUCUUUUGUUUUAGGUAUGCCCUUCUCAUUACCGAGCUCCUUGGCUCUACAAGGAAGGGUGUUCACUUGUGGAGUGUUCUCUUUCGAGAUUCGAUCAUAGAGGCUAUUGCUCUGUGAAUCACAGAGAAUUAGCUACAGUCUUUUCACAUCAAGGUAGGCUACAUCGCUGCUUUUUAUUUAACCAUUUGCAUCUUUUACUUUUUGUAUUCACCAAAUAUAUAUUUUGUGCCUCAUAAGAUGGGUGUUUUAUAUUUUUUUUGUGUCUACUUUCAAUAUUAAAGGUAGAUAUGAGAAUAAAAAUGGUUAAAUACAAAAAUUUGUGAACAAUUUUAUAUAAGACAAUAAUAAAUACUACAUAAAUAUGAAUUUUUUUGUAACAUCUAAUUCAUACAUGUGUUGACACUAACUAAAUGACAGUAAUUAAUUCAUUCAAACAUAUAUGUAACAUCAAUAAUUUACAAUAAAUUCAAAACCAUUUAACCUAAAUCUACUUCUAUAUAUAUUUAAAAACUUUCCUUCUCUUGAUCAAACUCAAACUAAACUAAACAAACUAAAAAUUUCACCACCACAAGUCUCAUAUAUUUUAUUGUAUAUAAUAAACUAAGGUUUUUGAAAAUAAGCUUUAAAAAGCUGACAUUUGGCACUCUAUUCUUUUGACAUGUGUCUUAUAUAAUUUUAGUGUAAGAAAUAUAUUCAAUUAAUUUUUGAGAUCAAUAAUCAAAUCAUUCCAUGAUCAAAGAAAUAAUUAAAAGCUAUUUUUAAUUUUGUAUUAUUUUGAAUUUUGUAGGAUUAAUUUGCAUUUUUUGAAGAUGAAUGGUAAAGUUGCAAAAAUGGGCGAGUUGGAGGGUUUUUUUUUUUGCACAAAACCCUUGUGUGUAUAUAUAUAUAUAUAUAUAUAUAGAUAGAUAGGGCAAUUUUCAAAAAUACCAUGCUUAACUUUUUGUUUUCUAUAGAUACUACUUAAGUUUUAGUUUUUCAAAAAUACCACUUAAGCUUUAAUUUUUCAAAAAUACUAUAAAAUAAACUAAAAUUUAACUUUCAACUUUCAAAAUUAAAACUUAAACAUUAAACCCUACACUUUAAAAAUUAUACUAUUUUUGGAAUACCAACACUUUCGGUGGUAUUUUUUGGAACAACAAACUAAUAGUUAUAUUUUCUUAAACAAAACUUGAAAGUAUGGUAUUUUUAAGAAUUUCAAGGUAUAAUAGGAUGUAAAGAUAAAUCAUGCAAUUGAUACAAAUUUGAUGUACAUAAAUCAAAGUAUCAUUUUGAUAGAAGCAUGAGUUUUUUAAAGCGCGCCUUGUUGGAAAAUAAUACACAAAUUAUAAUAGUUAAUUUUUAUGUGACCUUCUCACUGACAUGAUGGAAAUUUGGUCCUUGAUUUUGUCCUUGUUGCAAUGGUUCAAGUCUAAGAUUUAUACCAACUACUAGAUUUUAAUCCGCGGUACACUGCGGAAUGAUUUAUUUUUAAAGUUAGUAUAAAAAUAUUUUGAAAUUAUAUCUUCUUAUAAAAUAUCUAUUUAUAUUAUAGUUUACAAUUUUUAUUAAGUAUCGGUAUACCACGAGUCCACAAGACAAUAGAUAAUAAACUGAGGAUUUAACCCGUAUUAAACGGCAUGUUAAUGAUAUUUAUAAAUAUUGAUUCAAAUUCGUCCGCCAUAUAAACUCGUUCCGAAAUAUAACCCGUUUCCUAAUUUCUUAACCCGUCCCGUGAUUUGUUUUUAUUUUAAAAUUUAAUGAUUAUUUAUUAUAUAUAAAAUUUUACAAAUCAUAUCAUUCUCUAAGAAAUUUAUAUUUUAAUAAACCGGAGAUUUAAUCUGUAUUAAAGCGGCAUGUUAAUGAUAUUUUAAAAUUUUAUAAAUAUUGAUUCAAACUCGUCCUCCAUAUAACUUCGUUCUGAAAUAUAACCCGUCCUGUAACAUCUUAACUCGUCCCGUGAUUUUUUUUCUAAAAGUAGUAAUUUUAAAAAUUUAAAGAUUAUUUAUUAUAUAUAAAAGUUUGAAAAUUAUAUCAUUUUCUAAGAUAUUUAUAUUUUAUAGUUUACAAUUGUUAUUAAGUAACAUUAUACCACGGGAAUUUUUUUGGUUUUAUACAAUAUUUUCUAAAUGAGACUGAUUUAAUAUGUCUAAUAUUGGUGGUAUUAAAAAAAAAACUUAAGGAUUUAAUCCGUAUUGAAGCGGCGGAUUAAUGAUAUUUUAAUCUUUUAUUAUUGUUGAUUCAAAAACCUGUCCCGCCAAACUCGUCCGGCCAAAAAAAUCAUUUAUUUUAUUAAUGUAUCUUAUUUAUGAUAUGAUUCUGAAUCAUUGUCUAAAUAUUUUAAUCGAUGUAGAACGUGGAACACACAUUUUCGUUAAUUAGAUAAUAUAUGUCCGUUUUUAAAAUUUCGAAUCAUAAUAUAUGCAGAAAAAAAUUGAUUUUUGUUUUUACUUUAUGUAUUAUAUGAUGAUUCAAAACAGUUAAAAACAAAUCAAACAAAGAUGAUAGGAGAAUAAUAAUUCUAAAUCUUAAUCAAAUCUUCUAAAUAUAUAAUUAUUAAAUAUGGAAUAUCUGGUGUAUGAGCUGAGUUAAAUAUAAGCCGACCCAACAAAUUUUUUAUGACCAAAAUUUGUAAACGGGUCGGGUAUCCAAAUAACCCGUGAAUAUUUUUACCCACCCGUCACCAAAAUGACUGCAAAAAUACUAGUAUAGAUAUUCGCUUAAUUUGAUAUUUUACUGUUAACAUUACUUUUGGUACAUUGAAUUACCCUUUUUUCCCCAACAAACAACAUUGAAUUAGUCUUUACAUUUUAUAAGUUAAAACUAUUCCAAAAGACCAAGGAAAUUCGAAAAUAACCAACACUGUACACGUAAAAAAAUUAUAUUAUCUAGCUAUAGCAAUCGAUUUAAAAUAAAAACAGAAGUUUACAUAGAAGACUUGUUCGUGUUUGUUGUAAUUUUUUUAAUAUCAAGGCUGAUUAAGCAAGUCUUCCGAUAAACAUAAACUUGACGCAGUCAUAAAUACCUUACAUAAAGUAUGCUCUAAUUUUACUUACGUCAUAACAGACUUGCAUAUGUUGUAUUUUUAUUAGGGCUGGGCCGGAUUCGGAUAUCCGGCUUUUUUAGGGUAUCCAGAUCCGGAUCCGGAUCCGGCCGGAUCCGCCUUUUCAUUAUCCGGAUCCGGAUCCGUUCCACCCGGAUAUCCGGAUUUCGGAUAUCUGUAAAAAGAGCCUGAUAUCCGCCGGAUAUCCGGAUCCGGAUUUUUUUUAUAUAAUUUUUUUAUUAAUAUAAAAUUUCAAGAAAAAUAUUUAAAAACAAAUAAUUUAAUAUAAAUAAUUAAAAAUAUUAUUAAAAAAAUAUUAUUCUUAUAUAAAAUAAUAGAAUUUAUUAAUAAAAUUUAAAUAAUAGUAAUAAAAUAUUAAAAAUAUUAUUAUUAUAUAAAAUAUCCCGGAUCCGGAUAUCCGGCUUUAAAUUUUCUAUUAUCCGGAUCCGGAUCCGGCCGGAUCCGCUUUUUCAUUAUCCGGAUCCGGAUCCGCCCCACCCGGAUAUCCUAUUUUUCGGAGCGGAUCGGAGCGGAUCCCGGAUAAUUGGUCUCACCCCUAAUUUUUAUCUAUGAUAUAUCUAGAAGACAAAGAUAUAAAUCUGUCAUAAAUCUGCUAAACUAUAUUUUGUAAAAGCUUUAUCUUUUUUUCUUCUGAAAAAUGAAACAUUUGUUUGGCUUCAUGUAUAUAAUGUUUGGAUGGCAGUUUUGUAGAUACUGACAAGUUGACUAAUAAUAGUUUUAGUUUGUCAAAAAAUGUUAUUAGAAAAAAUAGUAAAAAAUAAGACAUUAUUUUUUUUUUUGCCAUGAAGUUCGAACCUAGAUAGUAAUCGUGGACCCAAAAAUAGUCUUUAGGACUUGAUUGGUUCUCCUGCUAGCACCCUGCUAGCGGUUGCUAGCGGUCGGUUGCAGUUGUUAGCAGUUUGGUAACAAUCAUAGAAAUCGUUCCGUACCGUUUCGAACUGCUCGAAAUCGCUGAAUUUUAAAAGGUUCUUCCCGCAAGCAUUUGCGGUUGUGGGCGGUAGCGGUUGAAUUUUAAAAAAAUUAAAAAAAAUAAAAAAUUAAACGUUUACUUAUAAUUAUUAUAAUAUAUAUUAAUCCUAGAGUAAAUUUGGGAAAAUCCCUUUUUUUUGUUUACACUUUUGAAAAAUACAUUUUCUUUAAUUUCUUUUAAAAACUAUUUUAAAAUAUGUAAAGUUACUAAAAUUUAUUUAAACUUAAUAACAAUUAAUCAAAAUAUCUAUAUUUUAAAUAGAACAUCAAUUUAUUGAUAAUAAUUAAAAUUAAUUUUUACAAAAAUUUUAUAUAACUAACAAUUCCGAAAAUUUACUAUCAUAAAUUAUUUUUUAAACAAUAAUAAAUAACAACAUUCUACCGAUAUUAAGUCAUGAUUUUUGUGAAGUCAUAUGGUAUUGUUUUGAUGUAGAAAACAUAUAAAAUACUUUAUUUCACACAAAAAAAAUCAAAGAGAAUCAUUGAAUUGAAGCAAAGUUUUGUGAUAUGUUAAGUUGAAAAAUGUGCUUGGAGUGUUGGAGAUUAUUUUACUUUAUAUAACAUGAAAAAUAUUUAGUGAAAGAUUUUAUAAUAUUUUAGAUGUUAUCUUGUUAAAUUUAAAUAUAUAAAAUUAAUUAACCAUCUUUGUGUUAAAAAUAUAUAUAAUUCGUAUUAAUAUUGAAUUUUUUUUCUCUAAAUUUUGAAUUUAGUUUUGAUUUAUUAAAAAUGUAGCUUUAAAUUUAAGUUAAUACCAAACUAUCAUUUUUAUAUAUAAAAGAUUGUAGUUUUCAUUAAAAAUAGGAAAAAGGGGUAUUUUCAAAGUAUAACUCAAAAACAUGGUAUUUUUCAAAAUGACCCUUAAUCCUAUAUAUAUCUUUCAUCUUUGCAUCACGUUCUCAUCAGAAACCCUAAUCAAUAUUAUGAAACCCUAUUCGCUCAACGUCUUCCACCCAAACUGAUGAAAAUCAAGAACCAAACGUAAGUAUCAUAUAUCCUUUUAUUCAUUCAUCACCUCAUGUGUAACUCUUUGAAUAUUUUUCAUGACAUCGUUUUUUUGCUUUUCAUUAUGUAUUGUUUUAUUUUUUGAUUGAAUAUAUGUUUCGAUUUAUUUUCUCGAAUAGAAACUCACUUGCUUUUUUAUUGAAUUCAACGUUAUUUACAGUUUGUCCCAUUACUUGAUGCAAUUUUUGAUGUUAAACAAGAUGCAUAAAGUACUAUCUUGUUACAAAAUUUCUUUAUUUUUGAAUAAUUAUUUAGUACUUUAUUUAUGAUUUUAAUUAUUAAGUAUGUUUAAUUUUUCUAAUAUUAUCAUAAUAAUAUACUGGUGUUUUUAUUUUAUUUUUUGUAAUAUUUUUUAUUUAGUUUGGUCAUUUUUCAUUUAACUGCUACCGCACCCGCUGGUUUACUAGUCAUAAAACUCCCGCAAAUGUAUCUAUUUUCAAACGCUAAACCAGUCGUUCAAAACGUUUGGUAAUGCUUGAAGCCGCAACCGUCCGCUUCCGCAAACUCCCGCAACCGCAACCGCAACAGCUGCGUUUAAACCAGUCAGGCCAUAGUUUAUUUCUUUCGGAAAUAUUCCUUUUCGCAAGUGAAGUGAUACUAGGAUUUUUUUUUCUCUUACGGAAACCACUAGAUCAAGAACCAGUUUGGUGCAUUUAUAACGAUAGCAUAACAGCUGCAAAUUAUCGUACUUUGUCACCAUUCACAUAUACUAGUGUAGGCGAUCGAACACCCUAGAUGAUGAAAAUGCCCUUUGAUCAAACUAGAAGAAAAAUGAUGAGAGGAGAAGGAGAUGUUCAAGUUUGUUAUGUUUGAGAUGUUUCACUUUCACUCAUAGCACAAAAGAUAAUUUUCGUUUCACUACUAAAAGAAUUUUUUUUACUUUUUUUAGAACUAUCAUAUAUUGACAAGUUUUUUGAACUAAAUAAUUCUUGUAGAAAAAACCUUGUUUAUUACUCAAAGUACUAAAAAAAUUAGCACAUCUUUGUUAGUCAUUAUGAAUCAGUAGAAGCUUAAAAAGCCUAUAUUUAGUAGUAUUAUUGAGAUCCAUGUCAGCCAUUCCAUGUUAUAAGUUUUUGAAUGUAACUAUGAGUUCUCUGAUUUGGGGAAAAUAUGGCUUCUUUGACAUUUUAAUUAAACUACCAUUUGUUGUAGUGGAAAUAGUCGUGUCUCGUAUCUAGGAAACUUCUUGACUCUAGAAGGUGAUUCAAAGAUAACACUAUUAUAAAUCAAUAUAAUCUAUGGGUAUGGUUUUGCGUAUAUAGUCAUGCAAAUCCAAUUUUAAUUAAAGAUAGAUUAAGUUAUCGAUAGACUUGUUAAACGAUUUUGAACUACCUCUUUGAAACAUGCGGCGAAUUACAAAUUUAUAGAAUAUCUUUGGACCACGUCAAAUAUGACAUGCGCUUUUGUCCUAUAAAUACUGAGCUCAAAUGCUUCACAAUUCACAAGCAACACACACAUUUAUAAAAAUCUUUAAAAAGCAUUAGCAUUAGCUUUUCUUUGAAAAUGAGGGUUCCCAUGUCUCUCGUCUUGAUUACCAUAUCGGCUUUGGUCAUUUCCUUUGGCGAAGCUUCUGAUCCAAGUCCACUUCAAGACUUCUGUGUGGCCAUUAGUGACCUCAAAAAUGGUGGUAAGUUUAAAACUCGAAUUCUUGAACUCUCAACUAAUUAUUAUUCUCCUUUAUUAUUUUGUAAAUUGGAAGUUGUAAUAAAAAGUUUUUCUAAUUAAUUUUUCUACUUGCAGUUUUUGUGAAUGGUAAGUUCUGCAAGGAUCCGAAGCAAGCGAAGGCAGAAGAUUUCUUCUACUCAGGCCUCAACCAGGCAGGGACCACUAAUAAUAGAGUCAAAUCCAACGUGACAACGGUCAAUGUCGACCAGAUUCCAGGGUUAAACACUUUGGGAAUAUCCUUGGUCCGCAUAGACUAUGCACCUUAUGGACAAAACCCACCUCACACGCACCCUCGUGCCACUGAGAUCCUUGUUCUUGUCGAGGGAACAUUAUAUGUUGGUUUUGUCUCUUCCAAUCAAGACAAUAACCGUUUAUUCACCAAAGUGCUGAACCCCGGCGACGUGUUCGUGUUCCCCAUAGGAAUGAUCCAUUUUCAAGUGAAUAUCGGGAAGACCCCAGCAGUGGCUUUUGCUGGACUAAGUAGUCAGAACGCUGGUGUUAUCACGAUCGCAGACACUGUGUUCGGGUCAACGCCCCCGAUUAAUCCAGAUAUUCUCGCUCAGGCGUUUCAGUUAGAUGUCAAUGUUGUCAAGGAUCUUGAAGCCAAGUUUAAAAACUAAAUCUAGUCACCAACAAUACGAGUGUUUAUCGUUUUAAUUCUUAAGUAAUGAUGUAUCACGAAUUAAAGGUUUAUGCUUAAUAAAAUAAAAAGGUGUUUAUUACCUGAUUUGAUAUUUAAUAUUAAAUUUCUUUUUCUUAUAUAUAACUCUGUCUUACAACUUUUUAAAUGUUGGGGUAUUAAAAUUUUCUUGGAUAUUCAAUAAGUCUUUAAGAGUUGUUAGAAUGAUUAAAAAAAAAAAAUGUACAAGCCAUCAGAUUAUAUAUAGAUAGGGUAAUUAUCAAAAAUAACACGCUUAACUUUUUGUUUUCUAUAAAUACCACUUAAGUUUUUGUAUUUCAAAAAUACCACUUAAAUUUUGUUUUUUCAAAAAUACCAUAAAAUAACUAAAAUUUAACUUUCAAAAUUCAAAAUUAAAACUUAAACAUUAAACCCUACACUUUUAAAAUUAUACUAUUUUUGGAAUACAACCACUUUCGUCGGUAUUUUUGAAACAUCAAACUAAUAGUUAUAUUUUCUGAAACAAAACUUGAAGGUAUGGUAUUUUUAAGAAUUGCAAGGUAUAAUAGGAUGUAAAGAUAAACCAUGCAAUUGAUACAAAUUGGAUGUAAAUAAAUUAUAAGAUAGAAGCAUGAGUUUUAUAAAGUGUGUCUUGUUGGAAAAAUAUACACACUAAUAAUAAUAGUUGAUUUUUCAAUCAUCAGUUUUCUAUUUUCGUUGAUUUAAAGCAUGAACUCUGCACAUGAUGAUUAAAAUGCUUAAUUUUAUGUUGAUUUUCAAUUUAAUCAUGAAUUUUCGUUGACAAAAGCCAAUUAAAGCACAAAAUCGAAAUCGAAAAAAAAAUCUUGAUGAGAAACUAAGAUUAAAUCGGGAUUUGUGAAAAAAUCCAGAAGAUUAAAGAGGAAAUCGAGAGAAUUUUUAAUUUGAAAAUUCUAAUUUUGAUAUCAAUUUUCUUAUUUCGAUACCGAUAUUGUGCCUCAAUUGGCUUUGUCAACGAAAAUUCGUGAUUAAAUUGAAAGUCAACAUAAAAUUAAGCAUUUUAAUCACCAGGUACAGAAUUCAUGCUUUAAAUCAACGAAAUUGAACAACUUAUGAUUUAAAUGACAUUUUUCCCAUUGAUUUUUAUGUGACCUUCUCACAGACAAGAUGGAAAUUUGGUCCUUGAUUUUGUCCUUGUUUCACUGGUUCAAGACUAAGAUUUAUACCAACAAUAUUCGCUUAAUUUGAUAUUUUACUAUUAACAUUACUUUAGGUACAUUGAAUUACCCUUUUUUACCCAACAAACAAUAUUGAAUUAGUCUUUACAUUUUAUUUUUUUUGUCAAACAGUCUUUACAUUUUAUAAGUUAAAUCUAUUCCAAAAGACCAAGGAAAUUCGAAAAUAACCAACACUGUACACGUAAAAAAGAAAUAUAUUUUCUAGAUAUAGCAGUCAAUCUAAAAUAAACGCAAACGUUUACAUAGAAGACUUGUUCGUGUUUGUUGUGAUUUUUAAUAUCAAGGCUAAUUAAGCAAGUCUUCCAGUAAACGUAAACUUGACGUAGUCAUAAAUACCUUACAUAAAGUAUGCUCUAAUUUUACCUACGUCAUAACAGAUUUGCAAAAGAUGUUGUAUCUCUCUCUAUCUAAGAGAUAUCUAGAAGACAAAGAUAUAAAUAUCUGACAUAAAUCUGCUAAAAUAUCUUUUAUAUAAGAUUAAUUUCUUUUUUUUCAGAAAAUAAAAUAUUUGUUUGGCUUCAUGUAUAUAAUGUUUGGAUGGCGGUUUUGUAGAUACUGACAAGUUGACUAAUAAUAAUUUUAGUUAUUGUCAAAAUAAAAAGUUAUUAGAAAAUAGUGAAAAACAAGACAUCUUUUAAUUUUUUUGUCAUGAAGUUCGAACCUAGACUCUAGUAUUCGUGGAUCCAAAAAUAGUCUUUAGUCUAUCUUUCGGAAAUAUUCCUUUUCGCAAGUGAACUCAUACUAGGAUUCUUUUCUCUUACGGAAACCACUAGAUCAAGAACCAACCAGUUUGGUGCCUUUAUAACGAUGGCAUAACGGCUGCAAAUUAUCGUACUUUGUCACCAUUCACAUAUACUAGUGUAGGCGAUCGAACACCCUAGAUUUACUAUGUUUGAGAUGUUUCUAUUAGGAAUGUGGCCUAAUUUAAUUCAAAUGCUAGCUCAAGAGUUAAGGAUUGCUACAUCCUAUAUAUAUUGCCCAAAUAUCUUAAUCCCAAGCAAUGUGGGACAUUCUAAUAGGCCUCCUCGAGAUGUGGGUAGGAAACGGUCCAACGGAAAACAGCCCAAGCCCAACAUCUCGGAAAUACAACAAGACAUGCCACUUAUAUGGGCCACAUAGGUGGAAAAACAUUUUGCUUAGAUUAAGAUCUUUGGGUAGUAUAUAAAGGAUGUGACAAUCCUUAACUCUUGAGCUAGCUUUUAGGUUAAGUUAGGUUAUAUUCCUAAUAGUUUCACUUUCACUCAUAGCACAAAAGAUAAUUUUCGUUUCACUACUAAAAGAAAAAAUUUAACUUUUUUUUAGAACUAUCGUACAUUGACAAGUUUUAUUUAACUAAACAAUUCUUGUCGAAAAAACCUUGUUUAUUACUCAAAGUACUAAAAAAACUAGCACAUGUUUGUUAGUCAUUAUGAAUCAAUAGAAGCUUAACAAGCCUAUAUAUUUAGUAGUAUUAUUGAGAUCCAUGUCAGCCAUUCCAUGUUAACUUUUUGAAUGUAACUAUGAGUUCUCUGAUUUGGGAAAAAUACGGCUUCUAAGCCUUGUUAAUUAAACUACCAUUUGUUGCAGUGGAAAUAGUCGUGUCUCGUAUGUAGGAAACUUCUUGACUCUAGAAGUUGAUUUAAAGAUAACACUAUUAUAAAUCAAUAUAAGCUAUGGCUAUGGUUUUGACUUUUGCGUAUGAAGUCAUGCAUGCAAAUCCAAUUUUAAAUUAAAGAUAUAUAGAUUAAGUUAUCGAUAGACUUGUUAAACGUUUUUGAACUGCCACUUUGAAACAUGCGAAUUACAAAUUUAUAGAAAUAUCUUUGGACCACGUCAAAUAUGACAUGCGCUUUUGUCCUAUAAAUACUGAGCUCAAAUGCUUCACAAUUCACAACCAACACACACAAUUAUAAAAGUCUUUUAAAAGCAUUAGCAUAACCUUUUCUUUGAAAAUGAGGGUUCCCAUGUCUCUCGUCUUGAUUACCAUAUCAGCUUUGGUCAUUUCCUUUGCCGAAGCUUCUGAUCCAAGUCCACUUCAAGACUUCUGCGUGGCCAUUGGUGACCUCAAAAAUGGUGGUAAGUAUAAAACUCAAAUUCUUGAACUCUCAACUAAUUAUUAUUCUCCUUUAUUAUUUUGUAAGUUCGAUUCUCUUCAACUAAAUUAUUACUCUCAAUAUUUGUACUUGCAGUUUUUGUGAAUGGUAAGUUCUGUAAGGAUCCGAAGCAAGCGAAGGCAGAAGAUUUCUUCUUUGCAGGCCUCAACAAGGCAGGAAACACUACCAAUAGAGUCAAAUCCAACGUGACAACGGUCAAUGUCGACCAGAUUCCCGGGUUAAACACAUUGGGAAUAUCCUUGGUCCGCAUAGACUAUGCGCCUUAUGGACAAAACCCGCCUCACACGCACCCUCGUGCCACUGAGAUCCUUGUUCUUGUCGAGGGAACAUUAUAUGUAGGUUUUGUCUCUUCCAAUCAAGACAAUAACCGUUUAUUCGCCAAAGUGCUGAACCCCGGCGACGUGUUCGUGUUCCCCAUUGGAAUGAUCCAUUUCCAAGUGAAUAUCGGGAAGACCCCCGCAGUGGCCUUUGCUGGACUAAGUAGUCAGAACGCUGGUGUUAUCAUGAUCGCAGACACUGUGUUCGGGUCAACGCCCCCAAUUAAUCCAGAUAUUCUCGCUCAGGCAUUUCAGCUAGAUGUCAACGUUGUCAAGGAUCUUGAAGCCAAGUUUAAAAACUAAAUCUAGUCACCAACAAUACGAGUAUUUAUUGUUUUAACACUUAAUGAUGUAUCACGAAUUAAAGGUUUAUGCUUAAUAAAAUAAAAAGGUGUUUAUUACCUGAUUUGAUAUUUAAUAUUAAAUUUCCCUUUCCUAUAUAUAACUCUGUCUUACAACUUUUUAAAUGUUGGGGUAUUAAAAUUUUCUUGGAUAUUCAAUAAGUCUUUAAGAGUUGUUAGAAUGAUAAAAAAAAAAAAAUGUACAAGCCAUCAGAUUAUAUAUAGAUAGGGUAAUUAUCAAAAAUAACACACUUAACUUUUUGUUUUCUAUAAAUACCACUUAAGUUUUGGUUUUUCAAAAAUACCACUUACAUUUUACUUUUUCAAAAAUACCAUAAAAUUAACUAAAAUUUAAGUUUCAACUUUCAAAAUAAAAACUUAAACAUUAAGCCCUACACUUUAAAAAUUAUACUAUUUUUGGAAUACCAACACUUUCGUUGGUAUUUUUGGAACAUCAAAUUGAUAGUUAUAUUUUAUGAAACAAAACUUGAAAGUAUGGUAUUUUUAAGAAUUUCAAGUUAUAAUAGGAUGUAAAGAUAAAUCAUGCAAUUGAUACAAAUUGGAUGUACAUAAAUCAAAGUAUCAUUUUGAUAGAGGCUUGAGUGUUAUAAAGCGUGUCUUGUUGGAAAAAUAUAUACACAAAUUAUAAUAGUUGAUUUUUAUGUGACCUUCUCACAGACAUGAUGGAAAUUUGGUCCUUGAUUUUGUCCUUGUUGCACUGGUUCAAGUCAAGACUAAGAUAUAUACCAACUAUAUUUGCUUAAUUUGAUAUUUUACUAUUAACAUUACUUUUGGUACAUUGAAUUACCGUUUUUCCCCAACAAACAACAUUGAAUUAUUCUUUACAUUUGAUAAGUUAAAUCUAUUCCAAAAGACCAAGGAAAUUGGAAAAUAACCAACACAGUACACGUAAAAAAAUUAUAUUAUCUAAGCUAUAGCAGUCGAUCAAAAAUAAAAGCAGACGUUUACAUAGAAGUAGGCCUGGGCAAUCGGUUUUAUCGGUUUGUUCGGUUCGGUUUAUUCGGUUUUUCGGGUUUUUCGGUUUUUAAAAUUUCUGCCGAAUUGAACCAAAUAAAAAUUCGGUUCGGUUCGGUCGGUACUCGGUUUGUUCGGUUCGGUUAUAGGCCAAAAAAUCAAUUCCGAAAUAAACCGAAAUUUUUUCCAAUUCGGUUAAUUCGAACCGAAUUAGACCAAAAUAAAGAUAAUGGGCUUUUAAUAAGCAAAAUUUUACGGUUACAAACGAGUAAAAUAAUGGGCCAUGACUAAUUACAGAGUUAAGCCCAAAUAAAACUAAAACCCAAGUUCAAAAAAAAAAUUAGGGUUGAUAGACUCGCCGCUACUCUCUUCCUCCGCUGUGACAGUGACGGCGACGAGAUGGCGGUGUCAUCAAACAAUGCGAUCUCUCCGAAUAAACCCUCAACGAAAGCUAUCAUACCAUCGUCAAAAUCACAUGCAGUAAGAAUCCAAUAUCUAAAAUUGAGAAAAUAGGAAAAGAAAAACAAAAUUGAAAAUCGAUUAGAUCUGAAGUUUUACAUGCCGUGUGUUUGGUGACGAGGAGGAGCGUAACGGCGACGCCAGCGAUAAACGGCCAAAACAUUUCGAAUCUGAACCACAGACUCGAUGUCGGAGAGAAUGAUUCAAAAUAGCCAUGGGUUAGGAUGAUAUGGCCAACAACGUUUCAAAUCUCUCUUGAAUAACACUUGCCAUGGAUUGAUGUCGAGGCUGAGAAAGAAGAAGAGAAGAAAAGAGAUGGAGAAGAAGAAGAAGAAGCUAUAAAGUUAAUGAAGGAAUGAGAAGAGAUCGAAGGAGAAAAGAAGAAAGGAGAUGGACAUGAAGAAGCUAUAGAAAAUAGAUCUAGGGUUUUUGUUUUUUAUAUGGGUGUCUAUUAACCGAUAAAACCGAUCGGUUAUCGUCUGUCGAACCGAACCGAACCGAGAACCGAAGUCUAAUUAUAAUUCUGCCGAUCGGUUUAGCCUUUCCUUCCUUAUCAGUGGCGAAAACCGAAAAAAUCGGUUUGUUCGGUUCGGUUAAUUCGGUUUAUUCCGAUUGCCCAGGCCUACAUAGAAGACUUGUUCGUGUUUGUUGUAAUUUUUUAAUACCAAAGCGCUGAUUAAGCAAGUCUUCCGGUAAACAUAAACUUGACGUAGUCAUAAAUAACUUACAUAAAAGUAUGCUCUAAUUUUACCUACGUCAUAACAGAUUUGCAAAAGAUGUUGUAUCUCUAUCUAAGAUAUAUUCCCUCCGUUUCAUUUUACUUGUCGUUUUAGAGUUAAAAUUUUGUUUCAUAAUAGUUGUCGUUUUAGGUUUUCGAUACAAAUGUUUGGUGAAAAUUCCAGUUUUAUCCCUACUGUUUUAAUGUUUCGGCCAAUGAAUUCUUUUAUAAAAUAUAUUAAUAAAGGGUAAAACAGAAAAUUUAAUGUUUUUCUUAAUUUGUGUGAGAAAACCUUAAACGACAACUAAAACAAAACGGAGGGAGUAUCUAGAAGACAAAGAUAUAAAUCUGCUAAAAUAUCUUUUAUAUAAGAUUAAUUUCUUUUUUUGGAAAAUGAAAUAUUUGUUUGGCUUCAUCUAUAUAAUGUUUGGAUGGCGGUUUUGUAGAUACUCACAAGUUGACUAAUAAUUUUAGUUAUCGUCAAAAUAAUAAGUUAUUAGAAAAAUGAAAAAUACUUGGUCUACCCUAGGGGGGUGAACAUUUAUAUUCACCCCUUUUAUUUUAUCCAAUCAGAAUCUGCCACCUAAUAAUAAUAAUUUUUUUUAACUAUAAAAUCUAAUUUGCCACUAAAAUGAAUGAAAUUAUGUAUCGAUUUGGAUUUAUUACAAAAGAUUAGGAUUUAGAUUUUAUGAUUAAACAAAUAUCGGUUUGGGUUUAUAAACGGAUUUAGAUUUUACAAUUAAACAAGGUUAAAUGUCGGUUUGGGUUUAGAAAGUACGAAUUAGGGUUUAGAUUUUUUACGAUUAAACGAGUUUAAAUGGCAGUUUGGGUUUACAAAGGAAAAUUAGGGUUUAGAUUUUUUACGAUUAAACGAGUUUAAAUGGCGGUUUGGGUUUACAAAAGAGAAUUAGGGUUUAGAUUUUGUAAUUAAACGAGAUUAUAUAUCGGUUUGAGGUUACAAAAGAGUGGUUAUGGAUUAGAUUUAAUAAUUAAAUGAGUUUAAUUUUUUAUUAUGUGGCGAAUUCUGAUUGGUUAAGAUAAAAGGGAUUCUCCCUAGGAGUGAACCCAAGUAUUGCUAAAAAAAAAAAGCGAAAAACAAGACAUCUUUUAAUUUUUUUUUGCCAUGAAGUUCGAACCUAGACUCUAGUAUUCGUGGACCCAAAAAUAGUCUUUAGUCUUUCGGAAAUACUCCUUUUCGCAAGUGAACUCAUACUAGGAUUCGUUUCUCUUACGGAAACCACUAGUUCAAGAACCAGUUUGGUGCAUUUUUAAAGAUGGCAUGACAACAGCUGCAAAUUACCGGACUUUGUCACCAUUCACAUAUAGUAUAAGCGAACACCGUAUAUUACUAUGUUUGAGAUGUUUAACUUUAAUUCACUCGUAGCACAACAGAUAAUUUUCGUUUCACUACUAAAAGAAAAAGUUUUAAAAUAUUUUAGAACUAUCGUAUAUUGACAAGUUUUAUUGAACUAAACAAUUCUUGCCGAAAAAACCUUGUUUAUCACUCAAAGUACUAAGAAAAAUAGCAUAUGUUUGUUAGUCAUUGAAAAUCAAUAGAAGCUUAACAAGCAUAAAUUUAUAUUAGUAGUCUUAUUAAGAUCCAUGUCAGCCAUUCCAUGUUAACUUUUUGAAUGUAACUAUGAAUUCUCUGAUUUGGGGAAAAUAUGGCUUAUUUGCCUUGUUAAUUAAACUACCAUUUGUUGCAGUGGAAAUAGUCGUGUCUGGUAUCUAGGAAACUUCUUGACUCUAGAAGCUGAUUUAAAGAUAACACUAUUAUAAAUCAAUACUAUGGGUAUGGUUUUGCGUAUAUAGUCAGGCAAAUCCAAUUUUAAUUAAACAUAGAUUUAAGUUAUCGAUAGACUUGUUAAACGUUUUUGAACUGCCACUUUGAAACAUGCGGCGAAUUACAAAUUAAUAGAAUAUCUUUGGACCACGUCAAAUAUGACAUGCGCUUUUGUCCUAUAAAUACUGAGCUCCAAUGCUUCACAAUUCACAAGCAACACACACAUUUAUAAAAGUCUUUAAAAAGCAUUAGCAUAACCUUUCGUUUGAAAAUGAGGUUUUCCAAGUCUCUCGUCCUGAUUACCUUAUCGGCUUUGGUCCACUUCAAGACUUCUGCGUGGCCAUUAGUGACCUCAAAAAUGGUGGUAAGUAUAAAACUCAAAUUCUUGAACUCUCAAUUAACUAAUUAUUAUUCUCCUUUAUUAUUUUGUAAUUUGGAAAUUGAAAUAAAAGGUUUUUCUAAUUAAUAUUUCUACUUGCAGUUUUUGUGAAUGGUAAGUUCUGCAAGUAUCCGAAGCAAGCGAAGGCAAAAGAUUUCUUCUACUCAGGCCUCAACCAGGCAGGGACCACUAAUAAUAGAGUCAAAUCCAACGUGACAACGGUCAAUGUCGACCAGAUUCCAGGGUUAAACACUUUGGGAAUAUCCUUGGUCCGCAUAGACUAUGCGCCUUAUGGACAAAACCCACCUCACACGCACCCGCGUGCUACUGAGAUCCUUGUUCUUGUCGAGGGAACUUUGUAUGUAGGUUUUGUCUCUUCCAAUCAAGACAAUAACCGUUU
rnacentral:lncRNA from 1 species